rnacentral:lncRNA from 1 species
GGGGGGUGGAGGGCAGCCUGGUAGGCACCACAUGGUUCCCGAGAAAUCCGCCACAGUUUGGGAAAUACAGAAAAACAGGAAAUGCUCUGGGCAAAUAUCAAAAUGAGAUUUCCCGUAGUAGGAGGAUUUGAGGAUGGGUCCUGGCAGAGGGUGAAGGAUCAGCGGUGCCUGUGGCCCAGAGGGGGCUCCUGGGCAGACGCUCCUCUACCAGCCUGGGUGUGGAGGAACCCCUGGGCUCCACCAGGCCAGAACCUCAACAAGGACGGGGGAAAGCCAGUUAAGACACUGUCCUCCCACACUACCUGGAGUUUCAAGUCCUAUUGAGGCAAGAGGUUGAUUUCCUGUGUCCCGGGGACCCUGCCUCAGUCUUUGGAGAACUGGGUUAGCUUUGCUCUACACAUUGGCUUCCUUCUCUUGGACUAUAGAUGCCUUCCCCCAUGGUCUGUAUGCUCACAUUCAGCUCCAGACUUUCAUCUUGCCGGCUUGGGAAACCUGAAUGAAAGAGAGAGCUCCUCCCUGUAUAUGAACUCCAGGGAAGGAUAGCAGUUGGUGCUGCCUGGGUCUCCUGCCCCCGCUCCUCAACUCAAGCACUGUGGUCAAGGGGCAGGAAACCUGGACCUGCUUUGAAGAAGAGCCAGGGGCUCCCAGGGUCCCUUCCAUCUGCACAGGAUCAUCCAGGAUCCUCAGUGGUGUUCUCCAGCUGAAGCAUCAGCCAGGGGCGCUCCAUGCCUGGCUGGCGGUCAUUUUCCUAUUGGGUAUCAGCUUGCCAGCUGCCUUAAAAUAUUUGAAGAGAA